GACGAACGCUGGCGGCGUGCUUAACACAUGCAAGUCGAGCGAUGAAGCUUCUUCGGGAGUGGAUUAGCGGCGGACGGGCGAGUAACACGUGGGUAACCUGCCUCAUAAAGGGGAAUAGCCUUUCGAAAGGAAGAUUAAUACCGCAUAAGAUUGUAGUACCGCAUGGUACAGCAAUUAAAGGAGCAAUCCGUUAUGAGAUGGACCCGCGUCGCAUUAGCUAGUUGGUGAGGUAACGGCUCACCAAGGCGACGAUGCGUAGCCGACCUGAGAGGGUGAUCGGCCACAUUGGGACUGAGACACGGCCCAGACUCCUACGGGAGGCAGCAGUGGGGAAUAUUGCACAAUGGGGGAAACCCUGAUGCAGCAACGCCGCGUGAGUGAUGACGGUCUUCGGAUUGUAAAACUCUGUCUUCAGGGACGAUAAUGACGGUACCUGAGGAGGAAGCCACGGCUAACUACGUGCCAGCAGCCGCGGUAA
rnacentral:rRNA from 1 species